GUUAGGAAUAUUGGACAAUGGGCGCAAGCCUGAUCCAGCCAUGCUGCGUGAGUGAUGAAGGCCUUCGGGUUGUAAAGCUCUUUAGCCGAUGAUUAUAAUGACUGUAGUCGGAAAAUAAGCCCCGGCUAACUUCGUGCCAGCAGCCGCGGUAAUACGAAGGGGGCGAGCGUUAUUCGGAAUCACUGGGCGUAAAGCGUGCGUAGGCGGCUUUGCAAGUUGGGAGUGAAAGCCCAGGGCUCAACCCUGGAAUUGCUCUCAAAACUGCAAGGCUCGAAUUCGGGAGAGGAUAGCGGAAUUGUCAGUGUAGCAGUGAAAUGCGUAGAUAUUGACAGGAACACCAGUGGCGUAAGCGGCUAUCUGGACCGAUAUUGACGCUGAGGCACGAAAGCGUGGGGAUCAAACAGGAUUAGAAACCCCGGUAGUCC
rnacentral:rRNA from 1 species